UCUCUUUCUCACUCUCUCACGCCUCUGCCCUCCUCCAACUCUCUCUCUCGCCUUUGUCUCCGUCGCGUCGGAUACGGGAGCAUCACCGCCAUCACGCCUCUGCCCUCCUCCAGCUCUCUUCUCUCUCUCUCUCUCUCUCUCUCUCUCUCUCUCUCUCUCUUUCUGAUAGCAGCUCCUGUUCUUGACACUGGCGAGCUCAGACGCCCCUUUCAUCGUUGCCCACAAGAAGGCCACUCUCACCAGGCUCAAGUCCGGUGUCCAACAUGUCUUCACUAUAACUAUAGCUCAAUUUGGGUGAUGUAGUGCAGUAGACACCUGACUGCAGAACAGGGGACAUUUUAACUAGAGCAUCCAGUGUCUGGGUGAUGAUGAAUAAAGAGACGCGGAGGUUAUCUAAAAUUCCUAAUGAAGUCGAGGGGAAAUAGGUACUUUUUUUGUGGAUUCACCUCCUGUUAUGGACGAGGACAGCAGAAAAAUUACCAAAACUUGAUGAAAGCACAGCAGAUUAUAUUCGUAAUGGUUUAACGCCUAGAUGGAGUGAUCUAGAUGUCAAUCAACAUGUUAACAAUGUGAAAUACAUCGGAAGGAUUCUUGAGUAUUUUGCCUCAAUCGCAAGAACGCUCUCUGUCGUUGUUGUCGAUUUGCAGUACGGCGCAGCAACGGCGGCUUCUAAGAACUCAUGGGUAUGUCAAUUUCAGUAUUACAUUUAGUAUUUUUUGGGGAGUAUAUGUAGGAAGUAUG